rnacentral:lncRNA from 1 species
CCUGUCUUUAUCCAUCUUUCCAGUCUUCUGCCCUGGCCUGCGAGGAUCCCCUGAUACUUCUCCUCCCAGACUGACCUUGGCCUUUUUCUGCCCAGACUGACAUCGAACCCCAGUCUGAAGUGAGAAGGACAGUCGCCUGUGGGUUCUCAUCUGCCAUCCUUGCAGUCUUUGGCCCCGGACCAAGAUCCCAAAGGUGUCUUCUUCUUCAAGGUGGACCUUGACCAUUCUCCUCAGACCGAGAUCUGGGCCCAAGAUUCCAGAAUUCCCUGGGUCUCAUUGACCAUCUUCUCCACCUACCAAGAUCAAGAAAGGCAUCUCCUCUCAGACUUUUCCUUGGCACUUGCCUGCCCCCGACCCCCUGUGGAACCAGGCCCUAAGCUCCUGGGCCACCCAAUCCUGUAUCUCCCACCCCCACGCCCACCCCCACUGCUGUCCCAGGAAGGCAUCUCCACCACUGACUGACAUCCAAAGUGGCUCUGUGUGAGUGUCCGUCUAUCCAUCUGUCCGUCCAAGUGGCUGUCUGCCUGGCCCUCUGCAGGCUGCUCUCACUAGCCCGGGCCAGCAUCGGGGGCUAGUCCUGUGCCUGACCUGACUUUACUAAAGGCUGUGUCCUGGCCUGUUCCAGCCCAGGCUGAGGCCCCAGGAGAUCCCAGGAGAGCCGACUGU